GUGGGGAAUAUUGGACAAUGGGCGCAAGCCUGAUCCAGCCAUGCCGCGUGUGUGAAGAAGGCCUUCGGGUUGUAAAGCACUUUUGUUGGGAAAGAAAUCCUGUCGGCUAAUACCCGGCGGGGAUGACGGUACCCAAAGAAUAAGCACCGGCUAACUUCGUGCCAGCAGCCGCGGUAAUACGAAGGGUGCAAGCGUUACUCGGAAUUACUGGGCGUAAAGCGUGCGUAGGUGGUUCGUUAAGUCAGAUGUGAAAGCCCCGGGCUCAACCUGGGAAUUGCAUUUGCUACUGGCGGACUAGAGUGCGGUAGAGGAGAGUGGAAUUCCCGGUGUAGCAGUGAAAUGCGUAGAGAUCGGGAGGAACAUCAGUUGCGAAGGCGGCUCUCUGGACCAGCACUGACACUGAGGCACGAAAGCGUGGGGAGCAAACAGGAUUAGAAACCCCUGUAGUCC
rnacentral:rRNA from 1 species